UAGACUCUUCUUUGGUCAACCACCUACACUUUUUUUUUUGACAUAAUCAAUUUGUAAUUCAUGCAAGGAUGAAACGUAUAGAGGUUUAUUGCUAUUUUUGUUCAAGAAAAGGUAGACAUCGGAUCAUUAACCACUCCAUUUAUAUGGUCUGAUGCCCAACUGGACGCUUCCUUCACACUUUUCCUAGUUGUUGCAGCUCAAACUGGGUCUACGAGACUCUUGGCCCA
rnacentral:lncRNA from 1 species